rnacentral:rRNA from 1 species
GACGAACGCUGGCGGCGUGCCUAAUACAUGCAAGUCGAACGCAGUGGGGACGGGUGAGUAACACGUGGGUAACCUCCCAUCAGAGGGGAUAACACUUGGAAAAAGGUGCUAAACCGAUACUGAUGGAUGAACCCGGGGUGCAUUAGCUAGUGGGUGAGGUAACGGCUCACCAAGGCCACGAGGCAUAUCCGAGCUGAGAGGUGGGUCGGCCAAACUGGGACUGAGACACGGCCCAGACUCCUACGGGAGGAAGCGGUAGGGAAUCUUCGGCAAUGGACGAAAGUCUGACCGAGACACGCCGCGUGAGUGAAGAAGGUUUUCGGAUCGUAAAACUCUGUUGUUAGAGAAGCGGUAUCUAACCAGAAAGCCACGGCUAACUACGUGCCAGCCGCCGCGGUAAUAC